rnacentral:snoRNA from 1 species
GAUGUGAGCAUGUAGACAAAUUUAACACUGAAGAA